AGACUCCUCCCGGAGACAGCAGCCCGGGGGAGGUGCAGUGGUUGCUGUAGGUGCCAUUUCCUGUCCAAGGUGACGUCUUCAAAUGCCUUGUUUUGGCCGACCAACGGUCCGAAACCCUUCAAAUUACAGUUACGGCGAAUCCUGACACUCGAGACGCUGGAGCCGGAGAUUGUUUGGCCGUUUUGUUUGAAAGCUGACUUGAACGACUCAAGGAUUCUGAAUAUGAAAAUGAUGUGUGAUCGUGGUGGUGCUGCUCCUUGAGCAGACCUUUUCAUGACUUGUAAAGACAAGCAGGAGGACAAAGCUGAUCGAGGCGACUUACUCCUGUAGCCGAUGCCGAGCUGAAUUUCACGAGAACGUCGGACAACAACACGCAACACCUGCACUUUGGCUUGAUCUGCUGCCCUCCUCUAUAUUCAUCUGUAAUAUUUGUAUGAAUAAACAUCUGUUUUAGAUUGCUUU